AGGCGCAUCUGGAGCGCUGUGCCCAGGGCUGGGCACUGAGGGCGAGAUGGGCAAGGAGCGGCUGGAGAGGGUCCUGUGAGGGGACACCCAGAGGAUUUGGGGCUGGAGCAGCUCUCUGAUGAGGAGACACUGCGGAGCUGGGCCGGGUCAGUCUGGAGAAGGGGAGGCUGAGAGGAAAUCUCAGCAAUCCAUGUCAAUAUCCAUGUCAAUAUCCAUGUCAAUAUCUCCCCGGCGUGUCCGAGGAUGGUGCCAAACUCUCUUCAGUGGUGCCCGGUGACAGGAUGAAAAGCAAUGGACAUAAACUAAAACAUAAAAAGUUUCCUCGCAACAGGAGGAAGAACUUCUUUGUGUUGAGGGUGGCUGAGCUCUGGAACAGGUGCCGAGGGAGGGUGUGGAGUUUCCCUCUCUGGAAACAUUCCAAACCCACCUGUGUCACCUGCUCCAGGUGACCCUGCCCUGGCAGGAGGGUUGGGCAGGAUGAUCUCCAGAGAUCCCCUCCGACCCCAACUAAUUAUGAUUCUGUGAAAAAAAACCUGUGAAAAGGCCCCAAAAUCUCAUGUGAAAUCCCGUACCUCUUUAGAAGGGCCACCCAAGUUGUUUUCCCACAGAUCUGACUCUGCAGGGGUCUCAGAGCCUCUGGACCCUGGAUGCUUGCAGAGAUGGACAGGGAAGAAGAGAUCUUUGUGGGAUCAGCUGUGUGCACAGCCAGGAAUCUGUCACCCUGCUUGCACAAAGGACUUCACUUCCUUAAAAAUGCUCUCAGCGUACACAGAACUCCAUAACAAAACCAACCAUAGAGUCCAGUGACAGUUGACAAAAUAUUUUAUUGACCUAUUUUUGUGCACCAUUUAGUACAAAGAUGGAGUUAAACCACCAAAUCCUCCAGCAGGCACUGAGAGUUCUCUGAGCUAAGAGCAGACCGUGGUGCUGAAGAUAUUUAGUUUUUCAUACCUUCUCCAGUUCACCUUGGGGAUAAAGAAGGUCAAGGCAGCAGCUUGAGGUCAGGGUGUUUUGGUCAAAGGUCUGUGGUUGCUCCCACUCGACAACAGGAGAACACACAAUUGCAAUUCUGUGCUGUAGCCUCCUGCUCAGGGCAACCAUCUGGACACAGAGCAGCUUGUUUAUACUGACUCCUCCCUUGUGACAAAUCCAAACACACUCCUUGUCUCCUGUGCCAUAUUCAAGGUCUCUGGCAGACCUGCAUUUUUCAUCUUCUAACAAUAGCUUCCAAAAUGGAGCACUUCAUCCAGCCCUGCGGGAUCCUCCAUCUCUGCUGUGCCAGGCUGUUCCUACAUCACUAAUUCUUAGUCAGGAGACUGAGCUCAAACCAUUUCUAUUGGAUUUCUCCAUCAAUCACUCAGUUUGCAGGUACUGAGACUGGUUGUGCUGCGCACACACCCACACAGGAGAGAGAAAUUCUCGUGCUGAGGCAAAUCCAAGGUCACAUCUGUUGAACUCCGUGGAAUUUCUCCAGGUUUAUCUCAGUAAUGGAGAUCAGCCUCUCACCGAGGUGAUAUAACCCCCUCUGGGCUCCCACGGACUGGAGGAAAGGGAGGAAAUGAAGCUGUCAGCACAGGCCAAGCAGCCCAAGAGAAAUUUGUUACAAAACCCAAUACCAACCAUUCUUCACUGUAAAAGUUCCUCCCUUCUGGGUCUGACUGCAGCAUCCUGGAUAAUCUCUCCUACCAUGGCAGGGCUGAAGCAGAGUAAACUCCAGAAGACAACCAUGGGUCCACAAUAGUGAGAAAAACCUUCACCAAAUUAGGCAAAAGUCAUUCCAAACAUGCAAUAGAAUCACAGAACUGUUUGGAUUGGAAGAGACCCUAAAGACAAUCAUGUUCCACACCCCUGCCACAGGCAGGGACAUCUUCCAGGUUGCUCCAAGCCCUAUCUAACCUGUCCUUGAACACUUCUAGAGCUAUGCUGUGGACACUAAAGGCUGUAAAUGUGCUCUUCCUGCCUUGCCUGAGAUCUGUGCAGAGGAAUGCACUUACUUUUUAUUUAACAGACCAGACAACACUCACCAGGAAGGGUGAGUUACCAACCCCACCUCUGAGCACAGCUGCAGCAUGUGUUAACCCUGGAGGAGGCAGCACAGGAGGUGCUACAGCUGCUUUACAGUGUCAGACACUGGUGAGCAAAGAAAUCAGGUUGGUCUGAGCUGUUUUAGUACCUGCAUGGGCCUUUUAGUUCCCCAUAGAAAAAUGAACAAUUACUAGGUUA